GCCCGGGUGGCGGAAUUGGCAUACGCGCUGAGUUUAAGCCUCAGUGCCGCAAGGCAUGUGGGUUCGAGUCCCACCCCGGGCA
rfam:Candidatus Lloydbacteria bacterium RIFCSPLOWO2_12_FTLL_51_9 rifcsplowo2_12_scaffold_91533, whole genome shotgun sequence.